UACGUAGGGAGCGAGCGUUAUCCGGAAUUAUUGGGCGUAAAGAGUUCGUAGGCGGCUUGUUAAGUAUGAAAUUAAAGCCCGAGGCUUAACCUCGGUUCGUUUCAUAAACUGGCAAGAUUGAGUAUGGUAGAGGCAAGUGGAAUUUCUAGUGUAGCGGUGGAAUGCGUAGAUAUUAGAAGGAACACCAGUGGCGAAGGCGGCUUGCUGGGCCAUUACUGACGCUGAGGAACGAAAGCGUGGGGAGCAAAUAGG
rnacentral:rRNA from 1 species